GAACGCAGCGAAAUGCGAUACGUAGUGUGAAUUGCAGAAUUCCGCGAAUCAUCGAGUCUUUGAACGCAAGUUGCGCCCGAGGCUUGUCCAAGGGCAUUUCCGCUAGAGCGUCACC
rnacentral:rRNA from 2 species